rnacentral:rRNA from 1 species
UGGGGAAUCUUGCACAAUGGGGGCAACCCUGAUGCAGCGACGCCGCGUGAGCGAUGAAGCCCUUCGGGGCGUAAAGCUCUUUCGACCGGAACGAUAAUGACGGUACCGGGAGAAGAAGCUGCGGCUAACUACGUGCCAGCAGCCGCGGUAAUACGUAGGCAGCAAGCGUUGUUCGGAGUUACUGGGCGUAAAGAGUGCGUAGGCGGUUUUCUAAGUUCGGUGUGAAAUCUCCCGGCUUAACUGGGAGGGUGCGCCGAAGACUGGGAAGCUGGAGUGUGGGAAAGGCAGGCGGAAUUCCUGGUGUAGCGGUGAAAUGCGUAGAUAUCAGGAGGAACACCGGCGGUGUAGACGGCUUGCUAGACCAUAACUAACGCUGAGGCACGAAAGCGUGGGUAGCAAACA